CCAACUUGUAAAAGUUGGAUCUACUACUUUUAUACCAUUUUAGUGUUGCAGGAUUUUUCAAUGCAGACCCGUCUUAUUUUCCAAGGAGCCCUUCUGGGUCUCUGGUUGUGCUUGUUUGCUGUAAGCUUCUGCUACAGCAAUGCAGAGACUAUUGAGGAAGCUGGAGAACAAGCACUAGACAAAGCUUAUUAAGGUGAGAUAUAAUAUAUAUAUAUAUAUAUAUGUAUAGUUCUUCUUUCAUCGGACGUCCACACAUUAUUACCUUGUGGAUGCCAUUGUAAACACGGAGAAGAACAAAGAGGGGUAGUAGAAAAUACAUGGCAUACGCACGGUAAUAAUGUCUAGAGGGGAAGCUAUUAGUCUUAGUGUGAUCAAAUAGUUCUUUUAGGCUACUUGAUUACACUACAAAUUUUCUUUUAGAAGGAAGCUACUUAGGCUACUUGACAGCUCUAGCAAUGUAGCACAAUACAAUAACAAAAGUUACAAAACAGACCCCUUCAUUGCUCCUCAUUAUUUUGAAUUACUUACUGAAAUCUCUGGGUAUGUUAUUUUUUUGUUAAUUGUUUUUCUGAUAAGUAACAUUCUUCUGCAUCUCUUUGUGCACAUGUCCAAUUGAAGAGCUGCAAACACAGUCUGCAGAGCUCAAUGAAGAAGGGAAGUUUGUCUUUAAGAAACAUCCUUCACCUAAGAUUCCAAUUGUAAAGAAGCCAUUUCCACCAAAGCCCUUCUUCAAGAAGCCACUCGCUCCACCCUUCAAGAAGCCAAUCCCUCCUCCAGUUCCAAUCUUCAAGAAGCCACUCCCUCCACCUGUUCCAGUCUUCAAGAUUCCACCCUUCAAGAAGGCGGGUCAUCCGCCGGUACCAGUUGUGGAAGGAAAACCUUCUGUAAAGAAGCCAUUUUUUCAUCCCCUUUCAAAAUUCAAGAAGCCAUCUCUACCUCCCGUUCCAAUCUAUAAGAAGCCACUUCCUCCACCAAUUCCCGUAUACAAGAAACCAUUUCCCCAUCCUAUUUUCAAGAAGCCUCUUCCUCCACCCAUUCCAACAUUUCCUCCACAUCCUUUCCUUGGGAAACCACUCCCUCCUCUGGUUCCCUAAUGCUAGCCUAGUGUUCUUUCACCUAAGCCCAUAUUGUUAAGGGAUGAAAGCAUAGAAAUUAUGUAUUGGUAUAGAAUAAAUUCCUACAUGGAGAGAGAAAGAUACACAGAGAGAGAGAGAGAGAGAGAGAGAGAGAGAGAGAGAGAGAGAGAGAGAAGAAAGAUGACAAUGAAAGAAGAGACUGUUCUUGGAAGUUGGAACUUUACUAUCAACUUUUGCAUUGUAAUAUUUCUGCUUGUUCUUGCUGUUAUAUGGCUACUGUGUGAUAGUAAAUUUGCAUUUUAUCAGUUGAAGGAAAUAUUUUUCAUUAAUUCCAAAGAAUCAACCUCAAGCCCUC
rnacentral:lncRNA from 1 species